UGAAUGGUAAAUUGAAAUUUAUUUUAAAUAAUCUUAAAAUGAGAAUUCAGAUUUGAUUUGGUAUCUUGAUUAUAUAUUAAGUUCUACAAACAUAAAAAUUUAAAAGCAAAUUAUAUAUUAAGAAAAAAUAUAAUUUUAAUAAUGAUAAAAUAUAAUAUAUCUCCCUUGUUAAAGUAUAUAGAGUUAUGCUAUUUUAAAAUAUUAUGUAAUUAUUUGUUUUGCUUUGGUAUUCACAUUAUAAAAAUAUAUUUUUUCAU
rnacentral:lncRNA from 1 species